rnacentral:rRNA from 1 species
AUACGGAAGGUCCGGGCGUUAUCCGGAUUUAUUGGGUUUAAAGGGAGCGCAGGCGGAGAUGCAAGCGUGACGUCAAAUUUCGGGGCUCAACCCCGUCUCGCGUCGCGAACUGCGUCCCUUGGUUGCGGGAAGGGGAGGCGGAACUCGUGGUGUAGCGGGGAAAUGCAUAGAUAUCACGAAGAACUCCGAUCGCGAAGGCAGCCUUCCGGCCCGUCAACGACGCUCAUGCUCGAAGGUGCGGGUAUCAAACAGGAUUAGAUACCCUGGUAGUCCGCACAGUAAACGAUGGACACCCGCGGUUUGGCCUGUAUGGCUGAGCCGCCAAGCGAAAGCGUUAAGUGUCCCACCUGGGGAGUACGCCGGCAACGGUGAAACUCAAAUGAAUUGGCGGGG